UACGUCAUGAAACGAGACAUGAUUUUCAGAUAGUAUCACUGAGUCGUUUUGGUACGAUAUCAUUUUUAUGAGAAUUUACAUUCAACCAUUUAUUUGGUACAUGCUCAUUAAUAAUGCAUGAGAAAAUUCAAACGAAAUGAAAUGAAUGUUUUGUCAAUAUCUAUAAAUCGGAUAUGGAUAUCUUGUCCUGAAUUACAAAAACUUUAGCCUUCGAUUUUGUCGGUUGAAACGAUCCCGUUAAAAUAGUUGGUAAGCUUGAUUAUUUAGAUGCAUUUGUAUCUUUAUCUGAUUUAUCUAUACCAUUAAAUAAGCUGUUCAUGUACUAUAGCUUAAAAGAAUACAAUACUAAGGAACCGCCGACACUGAUAGCCUAGUACUGAUAAGCCUAGUUUGACGAGUUUCAAAAAUUGUUCUGUCUUGC